AGCAGCCGCGGUAAUUCCAGCUCCAAUAGCGUAUAUUAAAGUUGUUGCAGUUAAAAAGCUCGUAGUUGAAUUUCGGGACUAAUAUGUCGGUCGUGCCUCGGUACGUACUGGUUUAUUGGUUUCUCCUUUCUGAAGAACCAUGAUGUCAUUUAUUUGGUGUCGUGGGGAAUCAGGACUGUUACUUUGAAAAAAUUAGAGUGUUUAAAGCAGGCUCACGCUUGAAUACAUUAGCAUGGAAUAAUGAAAUAGGACGUUUGAUUCUAUUUUGUUGGUUUCUAGGAUCGACGUAAUGAUUAAUAGGGAUAGUUGGGGGCAUUAGUAUUCAAUUGUCAGAGGUGGAAUUCUUGGAUUUAUUGAAGACUAACUACUGCGAAAGCAUUUGCCAAGGAUGUUUUCAUUAAUCAAGAACGAAAGUUAGGGGAUCGAAGACGAUCAGAUACCGUCGUAGUCUUAACCA
rnacentral:misc_RNA from 1 species